rnacentral:sRNA from 1 species
GGGGAAUUUUCCGCAAUGGGCGAAAGCCUGACGGAGCAAGACCGCGUGAGGGAGGAAGGCUCUAGGGUUGUAAACCUCUUUUAUCAGGGAAGAAGCUCUGACGGUACCUGAGGAAUCAGCGUCGGCUAACUCCGUGCCAGCAGCCGCGGUAAUACGGAGGAUGCAAGCGUUAUCCGGAAUCAUUGGGCGUAAAGCGUCCGCAGGUGGGAGCUCAAGUCGAUUGUCAAAGGCAGUAGCUUAACUACUGAAAGGCAGUGGAAACUGAACAACUANAGUGCGGUAGGGGUAGAGGGAAUUCCCGGUGUAGCGGUGAAAUGCGUAGAGAUCGGGAAGAACACCAGUGGCGAAAGCGCACUGCUGGACCGGCACUGACACUGAGGGACGAAAGCUAGGGGAGCGAAUGGGAUUAGAUACCCCAGUAGUCCUAGCCGUAAACGAUGGAUACUAAGUGUGGCAAGUAUCGACCCUUGCCGUGCCGCAGCUAACGCGUUAAGUAUCCCGCCUGGGGAGUACGCACGCAAGUGCGAAACUCAAAGGAAUUGACGGGGGCCCGCACAAGCGGUGGAGUAUGUGGUUUAAUUCGAUGCAACGCGAAGAACCUUACCAGGGCUUGACGUGUCCGGAACCUCUGGGAAACUAGAGGGUGCCUAAGGGAACCGGAACACAGGUGGUGCAUGGCUGUCGUCAGCUCGUGUCGUGAGAUGUUGGGUUAAGUCCCGCAACGAGCGCAACCCUCGUUUUUAGUUGCCAAUAUUAAGUUAGGCACUCUAAAGGGACUGCCGGUGACAAACCGGAGGAAGGUGGGGAUGGCGUCAAGUCAGCAUGCCCCUUACGCCAUGGGCGACACACGUACUACAAUGCUUUAGACAAAGGGCAGCAAGCCGGCGACGGCAAGCGAAUCCCAGAAACUAAGGCAAAGUUCAGAUCGCAGGCUGCAACUCGCCUGCGUGAAGGAGGAAUCGCUAGUAAUCGCAGGUCAGCAUACUGCGGUGAAUACGUUCCCGGGCCUUGUACACACCGGCCCGUCACACCAUGGGAGUUGGCCACGCCCGAAGUCGUUAUCCUAACCCUGGUGGAAGGAGACGCCGAAGGUGGGGCUGAUGACUGGGGUGGAGUCGUAACAAGGUAGCCGUACCGGAAGGUGUGGCUGGAUCACCUCCUUUUAAGGGAGACCAACUGGGGGAGAUAGCUAGGUUAAGAAGCUAUCACCGUGCAGUCAUCCCAGGUCGAACGAGAUGUUGGGGAAAGCUUUCAAACUAUGAAAAGGUUCGGUAUAGUGGGCUAUUAGCUCAGGUAGUUAGAGCGCACCCCUGAUAAGGGUGAGGUCCCUGGUUCAAGUCCAGGAUGGCCCACCUGAAACAGAAAAAAUGGGGGUAUAGCUCAGUUGGUAGAGCGCUGCCUUUGCAAGGCAGAAGCCAGCGGUUCGAGUCCGCUUACCUCCAGUGGGGCAGAGAAAAGCAAGCAAAUAGAGUCCAGCAACUCAAAUGGGAAAAAACCACGGAGACUGCUGGAGGAAAAACCAGCCAGAACCAAGAAAACUGCAUAGCAACAAAAAGUAUAAACCAGCAUGAAAUUUUAUGCCCUUGGCAUCAAAGUUCAUGAAGCAGGUAGAAACGAAAAAAGUGGUCAAGCUACAAAGAGCUGACGGUGGAUACCUAG